CGGGGUCGUCGGACAAGUAACCGUGAGGCUCAUGGAGCAGGUCGGAGCAGGGAGAGGUUGGAUUGGGAGAGGAGGCGGCGAGGUUGGAAGAAGAAGGAGAAGAAUGGUGGUGUGCGGAGGAGGCGAGGUUAAGGUUUCCCAUACUGGCGCUCUUCUUUAUGAUUGAUCCAUCGGUGAGCCUGACCCCGAAGAGCUUGACGCCGGCGGCCGCCCCCCGCGAGGAGGGGCAGGUCCGGGAGUUGUGGCCGUUGUUGCUGCAGUGGGAGCACCGCCGAG
rnacentral:lncRNA from 1 species